rnacentral:rRNA from 1 species
UGGGGAAUCUUGGACAAUGGGCGCAAGCCUGAUCCAGCCAUGCCGCGUGAGUGAAGAAGGCCUUCGGGUUGUAAAGCUCUUUCGUCGGGGACGAUAAUGACGGUACCCGAAGAAGAAGCUCCGGCUAACUUCGUGCCAGCAGCCGCGGUAAUACGAAGGGAGCUAGCGUUGUUCGGAAUCACUGGGCGUAAAGCGCACGUAGGCGGAUAGUUAAGUCAGGGGUGAAAUCCUGGGGCUCAACCCCAGAACUGCCUUUGAUACUGGCUGUCUCGAGGUCGAGAGAGGUUGGUGGAAUUCCUAGUGUAGAGGUGAAAUUCGUAGAUAUUAGGAAGAACACCAGUGGCGAAGGCGGCCAACUGGCUCGAUACUGACGCUGAGGUGCGAAAGCGUGGGGAGCAAACAGGAUUAGAUACCCAAGUAGUCCCUGAGCGGGCUGGCAAGGCGCAU